AGGACGAACGCUGGCGGCGUGCUUAACACAUGCAAGUCGAGCGGAAAGGCCCUUCGGGGUACUCGAGCGGCGAACGGGUGAGUAACACGUGAGUAAUCUGCCCCUAGCUCUGGGAUAGCUCCGGGAAACCGGGAUUAAUACCAGAUACGACCACCUUAGACAUCUUUUGUGGUGGAAAGAAUUUCGGCUAGGGAUGAGCUCGCGGCCUAUCAGCUUGUUGGCGGGUAACGCCCACCAAGGCGACGACGGGUA
rnacentral:rRNA from 1 species